AUGGCCCUCUCCGCCGGCGACGUGCCGACCAUGUACGCGGUCCUCGCCAACUCGCUCAGCGCCGACGAGGCGACGCGGCACCCCGCCGAGUCGGCCCUCGCGCAGUGCGAGCCCCGCCCCGGCUUCUGCUCCUGCCUCCUGGAGAUCAUCUCCGCCAGGGGCUCGUCCUGCCGCGAGGACGUGCGCCUGCUCGCCACGGUUUAUUUCAAGAACAGCAUCAACCGCUACUGGCGGACUCGCCGGGAUUCCUAUGGAAUUAGCAACGAGGAGAAGGACCACCUUCGUAAAAAUCUUUUGCUAAACAUACGAGAGGAGAAUAACCAGAUUGCACUUCAGCUAGCUGUACUAAUCUCGAAGAUUGCACGCUUGGAUUACCCAAGAGAAUGGCGGGACCUUUUCUCUAUAUUGGCACAACAACUGCAAUCUGCUGAUGUUCUUGCUUCACAUCGUGUGUUUAUGGUCUUAUUUCGAACUUUAAAGGAGCUGUCAACUAAACGGCUUGCUGUUGAUCAGAGGAAUUAUGCUGAGAUUACUAGCCACUUGUUCGAGUAUACCUGGAACCUUUGGAAGAGUGACGUGCAGACUAUAUUGCAAAAUCUUUCUAUGCUCUCUCAGAGGAAUGACUUAGAUUCCAUUUUGGAGCAAUCAAACGAUCUAAUCUUGAUAUGCGACCGUUGGUUGCUUUGUUUAAAGAUCAUCCGGCAACUAAUUUUUUCAGGUUAUGCAAGUGAUUCAACAACAGCGCAGGAAGUCUGGCAGGUCAGGGAAGUAUGUCCAACAGUUUUGAGUGCCAUUCAAUCCCUUCUUCCUUAUUACUCGUCCUUUAAAGAUAAGCAAGCUAAACUAUGGGAAUUUGCAAAAAGGGCAUGCACUAAGUUGAUGAAAGUCCUUGUCACCUUACAAGGCAGACAUCCAUAUUCUUUCGUACACCAAACUGUGCUUCCUGCUACAGUUGACUUCUGUUUGAAUAUAAUCACAAAUCCCGAACAGGCUGGCGCAUCCUUUGAGGAGUUUCUUAUACAAUGCAUGGUUUUGGUUAAAACCGUAUCAGAAUGCAAAGAGUACAAACCAAGUGCCACAGGUCGCGUCAUCAAUGAAAGUGCACAACCUUUAAGCUUGGAGCAAAAGAAAAAAAACUUUGCAGCAGUGGCUAGUGACAUGCUGAAGGUUGUUUUGCCUGGUGAUCGAGUUGUGUUGCUUUGCAACAUUUUAAUAAGGAGAUACUUUAUUUAUACAGCAAAAGAUCUGGAGGAAUGGUCAGAGAAUCCUGAAUCCUUUCAUCAUGAGCAGAAUUUGGUCCAGUGGACUGAGAAACAACGGCCAUGUGCUGAAGCCCUCUUCAUUGUCAUCUUUGAGAACUACCGAGAGCUACUAGCUCCAGUUGUUGUUUCAAUUCUUCAAGAAGCCAUGUCUGUUUCUCCACCACUCGAAACAGAUGUUACAUCUGGAAUGCUUCUGAAGGAUGCUGCUUAUACAGCUGCCGGGCAUGUGUAUUAUGAACUUUCAAAUUACCUCAGUUUUAAUGAAUGGUUCCAUGGAUCUCUAUCCAUAGAAAUUUCAAAUGGUCAUCCCAAUAUGCGCAUCAUUCGUCGAAAAGUUGCAUUGCUACUUGGGCAAUGGAUUUCUGAGAUCAAGGGUGACACACGGAAAUUGGUCUACCGUGCUUUGGUUGCAUUGCUGCAGGAUAAUGACAUAGCUGUCAGGCUAGCAGCAUGCUCUUCUCUGUGUUAUCUUUUCCAAGAAUCUAGCUUUUCAGAACUUGAUUUGUUUGAAUGUCUUCCAACAUGUUGGACAAUGUGUUUCAAGUUGACAGAAGAUGUCCAAGAAUUUGAUUCUAAGGUGCAAGUGUUGAAUUUCAUCUCAGUUCUUCUUGAACAUGUCGGAGACAAGGUUAUUCCAUUUGCAAGUCAGUUAUCACAAUUUUUCCAGAAGAUCUGGGAUGAAUCUGCUGGUGAAAGCUUGUUACAGAUUCAACUGCUAACAGCACUUCGAACUUUUGUUUCUUCUCUUGGGUACCAGUCGCCUCUUUCUUAUCACAUGCUUAUGCCUAUACUGCAAAGUGGUGUAAAUGUUGAUAGCCCUGACGCUCUUAAUCUUCUCGAGGACAGUGUUCUGUUGUGGGAAGCAACCCUUUCGAAUGCCCCAUCUAUUGUACCUCAACUGAUGGAUUUAUUCCCUUAUCUUGUGGGCAUUGUGAAUAGAAGCUUCGACCAUCUGGAGGUCGCGGUCAACAUAAUUGAGGAUUACACAAUUUUUGGUGGAUCAGAAUUUUUAAAAAGCCACGGUACAAGUUUGGCGAAUGUUCUUGAUACUAUUGUUGGAAAUGUAAAUGACAAGGGACUUCUCACCACACUUCCAGUCAUUGAUCUUCUUAUUCAGCUCUUUCCUCAGGAAGCUCCACCUUUGAUAUCCAGUGCUCUUCAGAAACUUAUCUUCAUAUCUUUGAGUCGAGAUGAUGAGCAUAACCCUUCUAGGACAACUGUACGUGCAUCCUCUGGAGCAAUUCUUGCUAGGCUUUUGGUGAUGAAUACAAACUUUUCGGCACAGCUAUUAUCAGAGCCUACCCUUUUGGCAAACAUUCAACAGUCAGGGAUAUCUCUAAAGGAUAAUCUGCUACUCUCUUUGGUUGAUAUGUGGAUUGAUAAGGUGGACAAUGCAUCUGCUAUACAGCAGAAGGAAUACGCAAUGGCUCUCUCUGUAGUUUUGACCUUGCAGAUACCUCAAGUCAUCGACAAACUUGAUGAUAUAUUAAGUGUUUGCACGACUGUUAUUAUUGGGGGCCGUGAAGUAAAGACCGAGGAUGAUUCUAGUGGCGAUAUUACAAGCUCUUCUUGGCUUGGAAAUGAUAAUUCAGGUUACUCCAGCAAAUUCUUGAAAAAGCGACAAGCAAAGGAUUUAGAUCCGAUCAAACAAGCUUCGCUAGAGAACAUACUAAGGGAGAACUUGAAGGCAUGUGCAGCUCACCACGGGGAUUCGACUUUCAAUGCUGCCAUUAGCAGGAUCCAUCCAUCAUCAUUUGCUCAGUUGCAGCAGGCCCUGAAUAGUGCAUGA
rnacentral:rRNA from 1 species